rnacentral:rRNA from 1 species
CAGUAGCCGCGGGAAUACGUAGGUGGCAAGCGUAGUCCGGAAUUAUUGGGCGUAAAGGGCUCGCAGGCGGUUUCUUAAGUCUGAUGUGAAAGCCCCCGGCUCAACCGGGGAGGGUCAUUGGAGACUGGGAAACUUGAGUGCAGAAGAGGAGAGUGGAAUUCCACGUGUAGCGGUGAAAUGCGUAGAGAUGUGGAGGAACACCAGUGGCGAAGGCGACUCUCUGGUCUGUAACUGACGCUGAGGAGCGAAAGCGUGGGGAGCGAACAGGAUUAGAUACCCGGGUAGUCCCUGUCUCUUAUAC